GAUGAACGCUGGCGGCGUGCCUAAUACAUGCAAGUCGAGCGAACAGACGAGGAGCUUGCUCCUCUGACGUUAGCGGCGGACGGGUGAGUAACACGUGGAUAACCUACCUAUAAGACUGGGAUAACUUCGGGAAACCGGAGCUAAUACCGGAUAAUAUAUUGAACCGCAUGGUUCAAUAGUGAAAGACGGUUUUGCUGUCACUUAUAGAUGGAUCCGCGCCGCAUUAGCUAGUUGGUAAGGUAACGGCUUACCAAGGCGACGAUGCGUAGCCGACCUGAGAGGGUGAUCGGCCACACUGGAACUGAGACACGGUCCAGACUCCUACGGGAGGCAGCAGUAGGGAAUCUUCCGCAAUGGGCGAAAGCUUGACGGAGCAACGCCGCGUGAGUGAUGAAGGUCUUCGGAUCGUAAAACUCUGUUAUUAGGGAAGAACAAAUGUGUAAGUAACUAUGGACGUCUUGACGGUACCUAAUCAGAAAGCCACGGCUAACUACGUG
rnacentral:rRNA from 1 species